CGCGGCCUAUCAGCUUGUUGGUGGGGUAAUGGCCCACCAAGGCGACGACGGGUAGCCGGCCUGAGAGGGCGACCGGCCACACUGGGACUGAGACACGGCCCAGACUCCUACGGGAGGCAGCAGUGGGGAAUAUUGCACAAUGGGCGAAAGCCUGAUGCAGCGACGCCGCGUGGGGGAUGAAGGCCUUCGGGUUGUAAACCCCUUUCAGCAGGGAAGAAGCGAAAGUGACGGUACCUGCAGAAGAAGCGCCGGCUAACUACGUGCCAGCAGCCGCGGUAAUACGUAGGGCGCAAGCGUUGUCCGGAUUUAUUGGGCGUAAAGAGCUCGUAGGCGGUUUGUCGCGUCUGCUGUGAAAACCCGAGGCUCAACCUCGGGCCUGCAGUGGGUACGGGCAGACUAGAGUGCGGUAGGGGAGACUGGAAUUCCUGGUGUAGCGGUGGAAUGCGCAGAUAUCAGGAGGAACACCGAUGGCGAAGGCAGGUCUCUGGGCCGCAACUGACGCUGAGGAGCGAAAGCAUGGGGAGCGAACAGGAUUAGAUACCCUGGUAGUCCAUGCCGUAAACGUUGGGCACUAGGUGUGGGGCUCAUUCCACGAGUUCCGUGCCGCAGCUAACGCAUUAAGUGCCCCGCCUGGGAGUAC
rnacentral:rRNA from 1 species